CAAACGACUCUCGGCAACGGAUAUCUCGGCUCACGCAUCGAUGAAGAACGUAGCAAAAUGCGAUACUUGGUGUGAAUUGCAGAAUCCCGUGAACCAUCGAGUUUUUGAACGCAAGUUGCGCCCGAAGCCUUCCGGCCGAGGGCACGUCUGCCUGGGCGUCACAC
rnacentral:rRNA from 1 species